AUGUGCAAGAUACUGUGCUGGGUAGCUUGGGUGGGAGUGGGAAUAGUGCCGAGAAAACGUGUCUUUGAUCCUAUUGUAAUUCCACAGGGCUUUAAGGGAGUAAGAUGGACAAGCAAACUUGGUGUGCAGACAGAAAUGUCUAGAAUAGGAUAUGCUAUGGGAGGGGCAGGCAGGAAGAUCAACUGUGGUUUCUUUAAUGGCAGGAAAAUGGGCUGGAUGGUCUGCAGGCAGCAGGUACCCAGAAGAAGCACAGAGUUUCGGGGAUGGAUGGAUCCUGACCAAGGAUUCUGCCUCAACUUGAAAAUUUUGUCUAGAGCUAAGACACAAAGCAGGAAUGCACAGUCAGACCUCACGCUAUUGAGACCAGAUUCUGUGUCCUCCUGAGUCCUGGGAAAAGUGACCGAGGAGACCCACAUCAUCUUCUUUGAUGCUUGUGAGAAAACAGUGCCACCUUGUCCAGAAAGGAAGCUCCAGUGAAGUUGCAGCCUGCAAAGAUGGACAGAGGAAAAACUGGUCACUGAAAAGACUAGCAAGAAAAAGCCAGAUACUUCAAGAGAAGACAACAGAAAAAAAUGCCCUAGGAAAACAUAAGGACCAGUAGGAUUUCAGGCUUUGCAACCUCAGAGUUGCAAAAGUGAAAAACUUUGCUCUGAGAAGAGAGUCCCAGGACAUCAUGUUCCAGAAUGGCAGCAGUCUGGGGAAGUUAUUCCUCAUGAUUUGGAUAAUAGGCAUUCAUCACCUACAGCCAAGAGAGAGGGAAGCCUAACUACUGUUCCAGCUGGUAACAGGCCUUGGCAUCGUUCAUGUGGUGCUGGUUUUAGGUACAUGUAAAAUGCAAAAGUUGUGGAGUCAGAAAGACUUCCACCCAGAUUUCAGAAGAAGGCCUUGGAGGCCAGGCAGUAUGCCCCUGAGAGGUCAGGUUGUGAAGCUGUGAAUGUGAACCCUAAGGUGCAGUGGAGACCCAGAAGUUUGGAGAUGCCAGAAAUGUAGAUCAUAAGAGGAAAACUUCAAGGAGAUAGUAGAGCUGGCCCAAGAGAGAAGCCAUGGGAGCUACAACCAUUAGCAGUGUGGUGGAGGCACAACCACCCAAGUCUUUUGGGGUUCAUAUCCUGCCACAGAUUGCCUCCGAUGCCACACAUGGAA
rnacentral:lncRNA from 1 species